CCUACGGGGUGCAGCAGUGGGGAAUCUUGUUCAAUGGGCGCACGCCUGACCCAGCAACGCCGCGUGAAGGAAGAAGGCUUUCGGGUUGUAAACUUCUUUUCUCAGGGACGAAGCAAGUGACGGUACCUUAGGAAUAAGCCACGGCUAACUACGUGCCAGCAGCCGCGGUAAGACGUCGGUGUCAAGCGUUAUCCGGAUUUACUGUGUGUAAAGGGCGUGUAGGCGGGAAAGCAAGUCAGAUGUGAAAACCAUGGGCUCAACCUGUGGCCUGCAUUUGAAACUGUUUUUCUUGAGUACUGGAGAGGCAGACGGAAUGCCUAGUGUAGCGGUGAAAUGCGUAGAUAUUAGGAGGAACACCAGUGGCGAAGGCGGUCUGCUGGACAGCAACUGACGCUGAGGCGCGAAAGCGUGGGGAGCAAACAGGAUUAGAUACCCCUGUAGGC
rnacentral:rRNA from 1 species